ACGAACGCUGGCGGCGUGCUUAACACAUGCAAGUCGAACGGAAAGGCCCUGCUUUUGUGGGGUGCUCGAGUGGCGAACGGGUGAGUAACACGUGAGUAACCUGCCCUUGACUUUGGGAUAACUUCAGGAAACUGGGGCUAAUACCGGAUAGGAGCUCCUGCUGCCUGGUGGGGGUUGGAAAGUUUCGGCGGUUGGGGAUGGACUCGCGGCUUAUCAGCUUGUUGGUGGGGUAGUGGCUUACCAAGGCUUUGACGGGUAGCCGGCCUGAGAGGGUGACCGGCCACAUUGGGACUGCGAUACGGCCCAGACUCCUACGGGAGGCAGCAGUGGGGAAUAUGGCACAAUGGGCGCAAGCCUGAUGCAGCAACGCCGCGUGCGGGAUGACGGCCUUCGGGUUGUAAACCGCUUUCGCCUGUGACGAAGCGUGAGUGACGGUAAUGGGUAAAGAAGCACCGGCUAACUACGUG
rnacentral:rRNA from 1 species